UUAACUUAAAACAGAAAAAGGAAAAGGAAUCGUUGCUUUCUCAAUAGCCUUUCUCUCUCUGCAAUUUUCAGCCGCUCCAAAACUCAGCAAACCCUAAAAACUUCUCUUUCCUCCCGGAGAAGACGGCCGAAGGCGACGGCUUAUGGUGGAGCCUCCCUUCUUCUCCGGCCACCGUCCCUAAAACACAACUUAACCCUCUAAAUACCCCCUUUCGAGUUCGAAUCCAACCUCUAAAAAUCCCUAAACCCUUAACACAAAACCGAUUCGCCCUGAGCUAACGAGUACGAAGAACAACCAAGAAAGAUCAAACGAAGAACCGAAGAGAAAGAUCGAAGUCCGAAUCGAGGAUUCCAAAGAGCGAAAUGCUAAGGGGUUCGCUCAAAUCGGAGCUCAAACGAAAAACACCCAGGAGCGAGCAAACGAGAUAGACAGUGCGAAAUCCAGUAUAAAUGAAGAUUAUGCAAGUUCUUUUUAAAAUGAGAGGCAAGGGGUUUUACCGUCCAGUAGGGCUUUCAGGUUACAACGUGAAGUGACUUUGAUGGAUAGUUUGUGGGCUGUAAUACAGCAAGGUUGGAGGCGCGUCCCAGUUCAAAGAGAUUUCAAUUUGAUUACCUGACUUUGGUCUUUAGGAUUUAUUCCCAUUUGUAGCAAAUUUCACUGUAAUUACAUUGGUUUUUUUUUAAGACAAAUGUCUGCUUGGAUUAUGUAACUUAUUGAAUUAAAAGUCUAAUAACCAUUAAUAAUUAUGUAUUCAA